ensembl:lncRNA
CAGAAACAAAUGGGAGCUGUCACCUAGCAUAUGAUGCUGCCUCUGCUGUUUACCAAGGAUGGGGAGAGAUUGAUGUUCCUCUUCCUUACCCCCCAUUCUCUCAGGUCACCCCAGUUAAUGUCCUAUUUACAGCGGGCAUCUGUCAGCCUCCCUUUAUGGGUCAUGCCCCUCUCCCACACUGAGACGCACCGCGCUGCUCCGCUACCCAUCAGCCCAUACAAAUGCUGACCCGAUGACCCUGCUGAGGACACACUCUGACCCUGCCACAGCUGGAUCCGCCAGAAGUUGCCUUCUUCAUCAGAAAUAACUCCUCUGCAGGUCAGCAGCUGCUCUUGGGUUCCCGUGUCGCCGUCAUGCAGAGAGAGAAAGACAUGUCAGGAACCAGUUCUGCAACCCAGUGUUGAUACUCUUCGCAUUCUAUACAGGGGGAAACGUUUAAGAAACAUUGAGGGAACUCUCAUCAUCAAUCUGCCCAAAAACAGAACAAAGGGAAGGUUAUUACAGAUGCUCCCAUUCGCUAAGUUGAGAACAUGAAUUGAUGUCGGAUCCAUGAUGUACUGUGUGUAUCAAUAUAUUCUGUAAUCUGUGUGUCUCUCACAACCCAUUAAACAAGGGUGAAUGUAAUCACUUCACAAAGUAUGUCACUUCUCCCUCCAUUCAAAUUCA